rnacentral:rRNA from 1 species
GCUUCGCUGACGAGUGCGGACGGGUGAGUAAUGUCUGGGAAACUGCCUGAUGGAGGGGGAUAACUACUGGAAACGGUAGCUAAUACCGCAUAAUGUCGCAAGACCAAAGAGGGGGACCUUCGGGCCUCUUGCCAUCGGAUGUGCCCAGAUGGGAUUAGCUAGUAGGUGGGGUAACGGCUCACCUAGGCGACGAUCCCUAGCUGGUCUGAGAGGAUGACCAGCCACACUGGAACUGAGACACGGUCCAGACUCCUACGGGAGGCAGCAGUGGGGAAUACUGCACAAUGGGCGCAAGCCUGAUGCAGCCAUGCCGCGUGUAUGAAGAAGGCCUUCGGGUUGUAAAGUACUUUCAGCGGGGAGGAAGGCGAUAAGGUUAAUAACCUUGUCGAUUGACGUUACCCGCAGAAGAAGCACCGGCUAACUCCGUGCCAGCAGCCGCGGUAAUACGGAGGGUGCAAGCGUUAAUCGGAAUUACUGGGCGUAAAGCGCACGCAGGCGGUCUGUCAAGUCGGAUGUGAAAUCCCCGGGCUCAACCUGGGAACUGCAUUCGAAACUGGCAGGCUAGAGUCUUGUAGAGGGGGGUAGAAUUCCAGGUGUAGCGGUGAAAUGCGUAGAGAUCUGGAGGAAUACCGGUGGCGAAGGCGGCCCCCUGGACAAAGACUGACGC